rnacentral:rRNA from 1 species
GGGCCCGCACAAGCGGUGGAGUAUGUGGUUUAAUUCGAUGCAACGCGAAGAACCUUACCAGGGUUUGACAUCCUGCGAAUCUCUUGGAAACGAGAGAGUGCCUUCGGGAGCGCAGUGACAGGUGGUGCAUGGCUGUCGUCAGCUCGUGUCGUGAGAUGUUGGGUUAAGUCCCGCAACGAGCGCAACCCACGUCUUUAGUUGCCAGCAUUUAGUUGGGCACUCUAGAGGAACUGCCAGUGUAAACUGUGAGGAAGGUGGGGAUGACGUCAAAUCAUCACGGCCCUUACGUCUUGGGCUACACACGUGCUACAAUGGCAAAUACAAUGAGCAGCCACCUGGUGACAGGGAGCGAAUCUACAAAGUUUGUCUCAGUUCGGAUUGAAGUCUGCAACUCGACUUCAUGAAGUUGGAAUCGCUAGUAAUCGGAUAUC